rnacentral:ncRNA from 1 species
GUUACAUUAUAGCCCCUAUCUAUAUUUUGUAACAACAGUACCAGAGAUGUAUAGGGCUCUUUGGAAAGUAACAAUGGUGGGUCUAUGAUAAAUAGACGGGCAUCUAUAAAAGCGCUGCGCUAUUAGCAGAUGGCUAAACGAUGUC